GACACCAUGGCCGAGUGGUUAAGGCGACAGAUUCGAAUUAAGUCGAUAUUAUCUGUUCCGCAUUGCGGGCGCAAGUUCAAGUCUUGCUGAUGUCG